rnacentral:rRNA from 1 species
CUACGGGAUGCUCCAGUGGGGAAUAUUGCACAAUGGGCGCAAGCCUGAUGCAGCCAUGCCGCGUGUAUGAAGAAGGCCUUCGGGUUGUAAAGUACUUUCAGCGGGGAGGAAGGGAGUAAAGUUAAUACCUUUGCUCAUUGACGUUACCCGCAGAAGAAGCACCGGCAAACUCCGUGCCAGCAGCCGCGGUAAUACGGAGGGUGCAAGCGUUAAUCGGAAUUACUGGGCGUAAAGCGCACGCAGGCGGUUUGUUAAGUCAGAUGUGAAAUCCCCGGGCUCAACCUGGGAACUGCAUCUGAUACUGGCAAGCUUGAGUCUCGUAGAGGGGGGUAGAAUUCCAGGUGUAGCGGUGAAAUGCGUAGAGAUCUGGAGGAAUACCGGUGGCGAAGGCGGCCCCCAGGACGAAGACUGACGCUCAGGUGCGAAAGCGUGGGGAGCAAACAGGAUUAGAUACCCCCGUAGUC